AGCAGAAACUUUCAAAAUCACGAUCAGAGGGAAAGGGAAAACAAAAAGGCGGCAAACAUUGAAAGAGAGCACCAGCAAGGAAAUCAAAUCCAUCCCCGGAUAUGACAAUAUAAAAAUAACAAAUAUAAUAAUUUCCAAAACCCUUCCCCUUAAGUUCUCUCUUCAUAUCCGCCCCCCCCCCUCUCAUCAUCCAGAGAGAGAGAGAGAGUUUCCGUGUCUCGAUCGUGCUCUUACUUCUCAGCUUGAUUUAUCCUCCUUCUUGUUACUGCAGAAAAUCAGCGAAAACGAGUUGGCGUUGAUGAGAAUUUAAGCGCAGAGAAAAAACGAUUAGAUACACUGUGCUGGAAUCGAUCGAGCUAAGUUUUUUUUAGCGUAAUUUAAAUUACCGAGCAUGAUUUUUUCGUGUUUUUGUUUUUCUUCUGAAUAUGUCUCUGCUUUAUUUUUUUUAAACGGCGACGAGAAGUUAAUAUCAGUUUUUGUUAGAAAUCGAUCAGAUUGAUUGCUUGUGAAAUGUUUGUGAUUUGAUUGAUGAAUGGCUUGAGGUAGGUCAUAAAUGUGUUGGUUUGUUGAUCUAGUGGAUUAAUUGUGUCUGGCUUAGCUAAAUAGCUGAAUGCCUGUUUAAUAGAUGGAUGUGCAUAAGUUCUGUACGUUUUUUAAAGGAGAGUUUAAUAGAUAUCGUUCUACUUCUUUUUGGUGGUCGUUGGGGGGGGGGGUUGAUUUUGAUUAAUUAUUGAACAAGGGCUCUGUUUUGAGCAUGAUUUGAAAAAGAAUCAGGUGAGGGGGAGAGAUUUGCCGCUACUCACUACUUUUUGAAAAUAGCUCUGAUUCGAGCAUGAAUUGAAAUAAUUUGGAUGACAUGAGUGUUGCUCACAUUGACUAGUUUCUUAAGAAUGGCCCUGUUUUGAGCUUGAAUAGAAAAAAAGCAUCUUAAAAACUAUGAAUUCAACUAAAUUCCACUAGCCAUGUCAUCCUACAAUUACACAUGAAAAUUCUCUCAGCUGGGUUUGGAUCCUGUAAAUGGGAUCGCAUCAACUACAUCCCAUUAGCGAUGCUAUCCUACCACUUCAAUUGAAAUUUGUGUGCCCAGCUCGGAUAUUGUAAUGCAUCUCAUGUUAGAGGAAGAACACUUGAAUCUACAACAGAAUGUUAGUCAAGGAUCUUUCUUCUUCACAAAGCUUGCCAUGUCUAUUAAACAAAAAAUAAGGUAGCAAUGUCUUGCUGGUCAGAACCAUUGCUGUUAAACUUCGCAUGCUGCUCUCCUGCUUGUCAUUUUUUCUCGUUCUUUGUCUUUACCAACCUACUUACUGGAAAGUGUAAUCUGGCCUUGAGAGGUCGGGGUGCUCUUGUUUUCUGGUCGAACCCCCUCACACAAACAAAUCCUGCAAAUAAAGUUUCACCAAUCGACAAAGUCAAGCUGACUGAAGGUUGCCAAGUGUAUGAGACUUGAAUUUAACAAUGUCCCGGCAUGACUGGGAAGGUGUCUUUCAUAUGUCAGGAUUUUAUUAAAUACUGAAAACAGCAUCGGAUACCUUUCCAAAAGCAGUGCUGAACUCCUUCUGUUGAAAGUCCUGGGAAAAAUAAUGAGUUCUUGUUAGCCAGCCUUCUCCUUUGUAAUUUAGUUGGAAUGUUAAUGCACUAACAUUGUACCUUUAAAUAUCGAUGGUACAGAAGUUCCAAAGUAGACAAUCCGUCUUGGCAAAUUCCAUAUCAAACUUCUUGGAACAUCAAUUGGAUUUAGGCUAGAUUCAUGAUCUGCAAACAUCUGCAAGGUAAUUGCAGAUUCACUUGAUAAUUAUUUAUUGAAAAGUUUAUGGCUUUAAAUUCUGGCAUACAUAGGAUGGGCAGGGUUUCCUGGUCAUUUGUAGGAAAUAGGAGAAUUACACAAAGUUUUAGUAGUUUUACCUCGUUCACUUGAAAGUACGUUCCAUUCAGCGGGAAGCUUCCUCUCAUUGCUGUUCUACAAGGUAUCUGUAUAUGUGGUAAUAAAAAUAUCAGUAUGCAAAACAUGUAGUUAACUAGAAUGCUGGAGCUUCCACGAUGAUUAUUUAUGUACCAUAAAGAUGGAUAUACUCACCAGAAGUGUUCCUCUUACUGUUUGUGAAUUAGCUUCUCUGAUACUGUUGCAUGAAAAACAUAUCUUUUCAUUGCACAAUUUGUUUGGUUCCCGGGACUGACAUUGUUGUUCAGGUGGCUCAAUUGAAUUUGCAGUUUCACCUGAAUAGUAAGAUAUUGCUUAGUAAUACUUCAAGACAGUGGCAUCUUUUACUCAUGAGAGGAGCAUUCACUACUUCUUGUCACAUCAUUUAAGUAUAAUGCUUGCUACUUUGGUAAAUCAUAUUAACACGCCUGAAGCUUUGCAACAUGCUCCAACAGUAAUUAGUUCUCUAAAUACAGUACAGGUAGUCUGAAAUUCGUUUUAGUUGCUGUUGAAACCAUUGAAAGUCACAAGUUUUUGUGCCUACCUGGUGUCCAUAUUGCUAGAAGGUAUGGACUAGGAUCAUCAGGUUCUCUUUUAUCCAUCUGCAAGUUCUAUAAAGUGGCUCAGUGGCUGUUAAAUAAAGCAUGUAGUUUCAAGGGAAUAAAAAUGUUAGAAAAUGGAAGGAAAACUAACCCCCUGAAGGAGAGGAUGUGAAUCUGGAAGUUCAUACCUGCAUAACAUCACGAAGACAAAGUGUGAGAUGCAUCAUUUAGGACCUUAUCCAUGGUCCAAACUCCCCCUCAACAUAUUAUACUAAUUAAUGGAGCAGGCUGUGAGUUUGAAAUCUGGCUUUCUGCCAUUAUUUUGAUACCUGGGGUCCUCUGUUUUUUUAGCAACUAAUUUUUUUUCAUUCCAAGUACUACUGUUGCAUGAUGUGCAUGGUGCUGAUAGUUGGUUCGGUUUAUCACAUGUUCGAGAUGAUUUUUGCUAACCUUACAUAGUUUUGUAUGAAUCUGUCUUUGAUUUGUUGAGCUGCAUGUAUGUUACUAGUAAAUCAUUCUGUUAUUGGUUAUGAGCAACGAUAGAGCUUUUAUAAAAUAACUAUUAAGCAUAAGGACCAAGAAAAAACUUAAGAAGGUGGAGGAACUCAGUUCCGACCUUGAUUAUGAGAAGAUUUUACUUACACUUGGUGUUCUGUCCGUAGGCGACUAACAUUCUUCAAUUUGGGUGUGGGGAUAGAAGCAUUUGGAUCCAAAGCAACUAAUGCUUUGGACAUGUCGUAUUCUUGGAGCUCCAUGUUUGAAUGUAUAUAAUUCUGUAAAUUCUCAGUAAACUCUUCCAUGUUGAGUUUUAUUGUGGGUAUUUCAUCAGGAUCUUCUCCGAAGUCCUCAAUAUCAGUCUCUGCUAAUUCAGUCUGCUCUUGAUCCGGUGUUACUGGCUCUUCAAUUAUGGGCUCACAACUGCCAAUAUCAAACCCCACACUUUUAUGUUGGUUGUCCUCAGGUGGAAGUAAUGGCAUGGGAUUGAUGACUAUGCUUGGGCUUUUGUCAGGCAUAAAGGGAACGGUUGAAGUUGUUAUAUCCUUUGUUUCUGGUCCAGGUAGUGCAAGCCUUGCACUGCAUCAAAUAGAGCACGUAUUUUCCUUUGCUUUAAAAAAUCAAAAGUAUGCCUGUUAUGCAUAUUAAGAAACGAGGUACUUGGUUUUGAGAAAAUGAAAUUUAACUUGUCUAUUUAGAUCUCUUGUUAUUUCAUCCAUUGAUCUCUUUCAGCAAUUAUCAACACUAAAUUUUCUUUUACUUCGUUUUCCCCUCCUACAACUAGGAUGGAUCAAAGAUGGGAUGGUCAUUAUUUACUUUUUAGCCUGGAAGAGUUGGUAAAAAUCUUUAUAUAUCUAUGGCCUGGACAAGAAUGCAUGCUUACCCAAUAUAAGAAACAUAAAUGUUUUUUUCAAGGAUUGUCUUCAAUGAAAAACUCCUUUUUCAAAUAUCUUGUCUUAAACUGAAGUAAAAUUGUGGCCCCUCAUGUGCAACUGCCUCGGAGAUCAUGAAUAAUUUUGGGUCAUAGAUCAUCUAUUUUUAAUUGAAACACUACCCUACCUCUUUGUUGCCGCAAGAGAGCAGUCAACCACUAUGAAAGUAGCAUAGCAUGACAUUACGAAUUGCAAUUAAUUUUCCUCCUCGCUAACUUUUAUUGCUACAAGUGACCGGUCAUUUUGUGUAUUUUAUUCUAGUUGUGGUGUUUCUAACUUAUACCACACUAAAUUAUAUUUCAUGUGAUUGAAUACUGAAAUGGUCAACCUUGCAAUGUUUUAUAUUUCAAAAUUAUAUUUUUUGAUGGCUAGCAUAAUAUUUGUUACAUGCUGUUGGCAGUAACAGAGAAGAUAUGCAAACCUUGUGAAGGCACUUGCAAAAUGUCUACAUUCUGCUCUCAUGGGACAUGCAUUACAGUUAGGUCUACUCUUUGUGCAAAAGACCUGCAUAAGUUAAAGCACGGGUAUUUUGAUGCUUUUCAGAUGCUUAAUCAUGAAGAGUACUCUGAUUAAUAUGCUAUCAAGUGCCAAAAUGAGUAUACCUUUCCAAAUGUGAUCAUCUGGUAAUGUAAUUCAUACCUGUAAUACCAUAAAAAAAGACGGAAAUCAACAAAUCUUAUCUGAAUAAAAAAAAGCAUGAUCUUUAUGCAUGGAGAGUACAGCUUUCAAUGACCAGAAUGGCUCCAAGGAAGAGUCAUGUGAUUACAGUGUUCUUUGAUCGAGUUUGCACAAUCUUGGCCAGAGAUACUUUUGAAUUGACUCGAGUAUUGGGUACCUAGAGGGAAUUUGGUUAGCAUUUUUGGUGAACUAGAAAAUUUUGGUGUCAAUUUUGUUACAUAUAAUACUUACAGUUCUAGCAGGUGCAACUGCAGUGACUCUGGCAGUGGCUGGAGAGGGACCCAUCCUAGUCGAACUGCUAUUCUCCCAACAUUUGUGUCAACCUUUACAACAGGCAAUCGAAUCAUUUGAAUUGUACAAAUUUGCUAUCUCUUGUAAGUUCAACAUUAUCUGUUUUUUACACAUGAAACUCACUGGGAACGCAAGAUGAUGAAGUGUUAGGAGCCGCACACACUCCACGCUUUUCAACCCCAACCCCCGUAUACUUAGCAGAUAAUCCCUGAAAAAUAAAGAUAUUUCAGAAACUGGGGAACAUAUUAUGACAUUUGAUGAAUUGUUUGCUAUCUUUUGCUUAAAUUUUGUUACGAGCAGCUUCAUAUUGACAUACUGGAAUAAUCAAUACUUUUGAGUAGGAACUCUAAUAAUUGGGGUGGCUUACUUUGCUUUGCCAGGGGGCACAUCUCUUAACCAUUCCAAAUCAAUGCUUCCAUGUUCCCUUACCAGUCGGUUUAGGAAUUCCUGCAAUAUUGUGCAACCAUUAUUAACAUGUUUUAUCUGUGCCUUGAGUUCACACAAUCCACCAUGAGUAAGAGAACAGUUCACAAAGCCAGAAGAGGAAAGAAACGUUAUUAAGGCUUGAGGUUAAACAUACUAAAAUACCUGGAUUCGUUCUGCUAGAAUUUUAUUCAUCCCUCUUUCUUUGAUGGCUUCAGAAAUCUCAUUGACUCCAGCACAUCGCACUGCUUCAUAGUCCAAGGAAUCCAUUGUGUCUUCGGCUCUCUCUUUUCUUCCAUUUGUCUGCACUUGCUUCCUUAAACUAUCCCAGUCAAAUACAUCUGCUUUCUCACUCUCAACUUUUCCUUUUCUAACUUUUGAGGCAUUUGCAUUUGACUUGAGGUUUUCCCUGUUAUCAGGAUGUACUUUCUCCUUUGUAUUUGGGUCAAUCACUAUGUUUUCUUGGGGUGUUUGCUUAUUCACGGAAGUGAUCCUCUGAAAAUCAAGAAUGUUUUCUGUGAGUCUGGGGACAUUCGAGAUGUGCUGUGUGUAACUGUUUUGCUUCUCAGGCAAUGUUUUGGCAAGAUUUACAGGUCCACCAGCUGACAUGCUUUGCCAUUGCAAGGUCUCGUUCCUCUCAUUAACUUGAUUUUCAUGGUAAGGCUGAAAACUGCUUUGUUCAUACAUUGAUUGCUUUCUGUAGAGAGAAUGUUGGACUGCUAGUGGAGCUUCUUGAUACCUUGGCAACUCGUAUUCCCUGGCAGCUUUUUUACCCACACUCGCAGCCUUUUGUCCAACAGUUUCGCUUGAGCAGCUUGCAGCCUUUUCUUUGUUGAAUCUGGAAGAAUUUGAUGUCCAAGAAGAUAUGGAAUCUUCACUGUGCAAUUUGAAGCCUUCUGCUUGCUGUGCAUUGGACUGUGAAGUCAUGUGUAGCAACCCAUAGUUACUGCAUGAAACCACUUUCCCUUGCACCUGUGGAUUGCAGUAAUUGAAUUGCUUAUUAUAUGGAGAAAAGCAGUUCAGAUUACCUAAUCUUUCCAAUCCAGCUCCUUGCUGCAUGUUCUGUAUACCUUCUGCUUGCUCAUUUUCAUGCCUGGAUCCCCUAUUAAACAAUGAACUUCCACUCUCACAACCAUCAAAUUCUUCUAGCAAGGUGGGACUCUCCAUCUCUAAACGAUCCACAAAAGAUAAACCAUGACUUGUGCUAGGUUUGCAUCCAGUAGGAGGGUCUUCUGUUUCGGAGUUGGAGCCUGAGUAGGAUCUGACUCCGCCAUUUGCUUGGACAGUUGAGGAAUCAAAAGAAUCUUGUGAUGAUACAAGUUCUUCCUCCAGGCUGUGACUUUGUGCCCCUACCAUGCUUGCUCUUUCUAUACACCAAGUUUCAGAUUCUCCCUGUGAUUCUGCUGAUCCAUGGUGUGUAAUGGGGCUUUGGUUGUAGAGUGGAUACCUAAACUUGCUGUUCCAUUUGAUGAUGUCAUUUGGGUUUUGCUUGCAGACAUCUGGUUCUUCAACCAUGAUGCCUUUCCUAUGGCUGUCAUGAGCUGCAUUGCUCCUAGACUUCAGAGGAAAUAAUGAAGCUAGAGACAUGAAGGCAGAGCUGCAAGAUGAUCUGAAACAUUUUGGGUAAGGAAAACUCCUAUUACCGAAUCAACAACCGAUCCCUUCCAUUUUGAAAAACGCCUAUCUCCUGCAAAGAAUGUUAUUUACUUUCAUACAUACAGAGGAGAAUUUCUGCUUUGCUGGUCGCCCUGCAUUGGAUGUCAAGAGUGGUUGCUGUAAUUAUGGUGACUAGACCAUUUAAUGGCUGCUGAUGUUCUUUCAAGAUAUCCUUUGGUUGUUGCGGCAUCCUACCCUUUCCAGAUGGAAUUGGUAUUGACACAGUAGCUCCAUACAUCUGCUGUAUUCUUGACAUUUCAGUGUUGCAAGUUUCAGGUUGCAGUUGGCUAUCAGAUGCAUGGUUUGUUUUGAGAGGGGUUUGUGAAAGGUUGUGACAAACUGCUAUUGUGGUGGGGGAGAGGGAGUUAUGGACUUGAGCCAAUCCAUUAGACUCUCCUGUCCUUUCUAGGUGUAAAAUCGGGUUAAAUGAAAUACAUUGCUUUGGAAGGUUCUGUGAAGUUGUCGGGUGAACAUACCACUCACCAGGAUAUUUAGUUGUUGCAACACAAGAAGACAUACUCAGUGUGUUUGUUUGAGUCCCAUUCUCUGUUUUGUUUCUUUUCUGGGCCUCCAAACAUCCCACGCCUGGAAUGCUUUGAUAAUAUUCAUCAAACAAUGAGCCCACUGGUUGUGAAGUACAGGUGUUUGUUUUCUCAAUAUGAACGUGUUCUCUCUUGGAUCCUCUACCCUCAAUUAAAUAUAAUGGUAUCAUUUGUACUGAUUGAGGGGUAUUCUGAUAUGUUAUCUGUCUAGUCCGCUCUGGUCUUUUUUCUAGAAAGACAACUUGACCAAUUCCUCGUGCAUCUCUUGCAUUGACGUUUAAAUUCUCCAUGUGCAUGAUUUUUCUUGGAGUUAGUUCAGCAGCUACCGCAUGUCUUUCUGAAAUUGAUGUAUAACUUCUUCCCAUCUGGUUCAUGAGAGGUGUCUGGUUACUUGUAGCACCUGAUUGCUUGUUUUCAACCUGUAAACUAUUAUGCUGGUUCAUCUGUGAAGUUGUAGUGCUUGAAUCUGCCACUUGAAGACUUGUGUUCAGAUCAAAAGUCCCUCUUUUUUUAUUCAGCAUGUCCUCCUGAGCAGCUGCAUUGCUGUAUCUUUCAUCUGUGGUAGUUUCCAAAUCAAACCUCAAUUCUCUUCUACAUGAUUUUGCACCAGCUUCAGCACUGGAAUGUGUAAUCCCUACUGUAGAGUCUGCAUGCUGAUUUGCUGAUUCAUUUAUGCCCUUCUUGCGUACAUACUUUCUCUUCACAGGACGGGUAUUUAUGGUUUCUCCAAUAGAAUCUGUAUGUUGAACUGCUGAUUCAUUCAGGCCCUUCUUGCGCACAUACUUCCUCUUUGCAGAGCUGGGAGGUGUAGUCUCUAUAGCAGAAUCUGUUUGUUGAAUUGCUGGCUCUUUCAAAGCCUUGCGAACAUACUUCCGCUUUUCAGUUGACUUCUCCUUGGGGUCGGUGUUUUUUGUGGUUGCAGCCUUGGGAGUCCUUUUUGGUUUGCCUUCCACAAUCACCUUUGGCCUAUGCUUUCUUCUCUUUGGAGGUUUCUGCAGUGGUGUUUUAUUAAGGUCGAUGCCUUGUUCAUCUGGCCUUGCUAGAUCUUUUUCUCCCUCAAAUGGUGUAGAAAUGACAGCAGAAGAUGAGUCUGCAAUGUUACACGAGAGCUCUUCUGAAUUGUGUUGAUUGGCUUUGAGUUCAUUGAAUACAACUAAAUCAUUUUUCUCAUUUUCUCCACUUGAGUUUUUUUCUCGCGAGGGACUCAUUGUUGCAGGAAGCUUACUCUCCAAUCUCUUGGCCUGAUCUGGCACUACCGUGGCAAAUUUAAAAGAGUUGGUAACACUUGAGGCUGCAUCAGCUUCUAUUCUCGGUGAUGAGUUUAGAUCGUGGUUAGGAAGCCAAGGCGAUGGAGGUUCAUCUGUAGAAAGCAAUAUUCUUAAGAAUGUAGAAUAAGAUUUUGACAAAAAAAAGGCGGUUGAAACAAAAGUUCAGCUAGUGGCAGAAUGAAAGCUGAUUCUUUUUCAUUCCCGUCUCUAGUUUUUUAUAUCUUCCUAGUGAGUUUUGAUUCUUGUAAAAUGAGUAAAAGACAAACUUAGUUAAUCUGUGGAGCGUGGAAUGCUUAAAUACUUUUGCUCAUACCAAAGCAUAUAGAAAAUGUCAAAUUCUGAUCUAGAUAAAUAAAUGGAAACCUACAUGCUAAAUUACAUCUC